rnacentral:rRNA from 1 species
GACGAACGCUGGCGGCGUGCUUAACACAUGCAAGUCGAACGGAAAGGCCCUGCUUUUGUGGUGUGCUCGAGUGGCGAACGGGUGAGUAACACGUGAGUAACCUGCCCUUGACUUUGGGAUAACUUCAGGAAACUGGGGCUAAUACCGGAUAGGAGCUCCUGCUGCAUGGUUGGGGUUGGAAAGUUUCGGCGGUUGGGGAUGGACUCGCGGCUUAUCAGCUUGUUGGUGGGGUAGUGGCUUACCAAGGCUUUGACGGGUAGCCGGCCUGAGAGGGUGACCGGCCACAUUGGGACUGAGAUACGGCCCAGACUCCUACGGGAGGCAGCAGUGGGGAAUAUUGCACAAUGGGCGGAAGCCUGAUGCAGCAACGCCGCGUGAGGGAUGACGGCCUUCGGGUUGUAAACCGCUUUCGCCAGUGAAGAAGCGUGAGUGACGGUAAUGGGUAAAGAAGCACCGGCUAACUACGUG